rnacentral:tRNA from 1 species
GAAAAAUAGAUUAAUAAGAUCGUUGGGUUCAUGCCCCAAAAGUAGAGGCUUUAGGUGUCUCUUUUUCUUA